UCUCUACUCUGAACAGCGGGUCUUGUGAACAUGGGCCUCAGUACAAUAAAGGUAAGGUAUUUCAGGUUUUUGACUCAAUCAUGUGCUACGCUUUAUUUGCAAUUUCAAAUAAUUUCUUGCAGUUCCAGAAUACCUGUAACCGUAUUUCUGUAUUUGUAACUGUAUUUCUUUUCACAAAUCUAAGAGGACACUUCACACCCUACAACCCGUAAAAAUAACCCAGAUUCGUCAGAACUGCACACCCAUCUUAGGCCUACUGUACCUGUUUUACUUCAUGAUCACUGCAGAUACUUCUACAAUUGACCCGCUUUGUGUCUGAUAUUGAUGCAGUCUGGGCACUAGUAUCUGUUGGCUUGCUGACUAUCACUGAAGAUGAAGUACUUCUCCAAAUCUUCUCUGCCUUGACCCUGUGUCUUCUGCCAUCAUUGUUCAGGGUAGUACUGCAAAGAACCGUCUCCAGGGUCUACCUCCAACAUUUGCUUCCGGACCGCCAUGUGCUACGUUUGGAUUACUGGUACAUGAAGAUUACCCUGAUACUGUGAAGAACACUUACAAUAUGAUGCUUGACUUGGGACAGAAAAAAAAAAACACUGGCAACUUGUGUGGCCAACUCAUUGCCAUACUUAAUCUCAUCUUACUGC